rnacentral:rRNA from 1 species
CCUACGGGAGGCUGCAGUGGGGAAUAUUGCACAAUGGGGGAAACCCUGAUGCAGCGACGCCGCGUGAGUGAAGAAGUAUUUCGGUAUGUAAAGCUCUAUCAGCAGGGAAGAAAAUGACGGUACCUGACUAAGAAGCACCGGCUAACUACGUGCCAGCAGCCGCGGUAAUACGUAGGGGGCAAGCGUUAUCCGGAUUUACUGGGUGUAAAGGGAGCGUAGACGGCGCGGCAAGUCUGAAGUGAAAGGCAAGGGCUUAACCCCGGAACUGCUUUGGAAACUGCCAUGCUAGAGUGAUGGAGAGGUAAGUGGAAUUCCGAGUGUAGCGGUGAAAUGCGUAGAUAUUAGGAGGAACACCAGUGGCGAAGGCGGCUUACUGGACAGUAACUGACGUUGAGGCGCGAAAGCGUGGGGAGCAAACAGGAUUAGAUACCCGAGUAGUC